rnacentral:rRNA from 1 species
AGCAGCCGCGGUAAUUCCAGCUCCAAUAGCGUAUAUUAAAGUUGUUGCAGUUAAAAAGCUCGUAGUUGAAUUUCGGGAUCAGUACGCUGGUCGUGCCUUGGUAUGUACUGGUGUUACUGGUUCCUACCUUCUGACGAACCGUCAUGUCAUUAAUUUGGUGUGGCGGGGAAUCAGGACUGUUACUUUGAAAAAAUUAGAGUGUUUAAAGCAGGCUCGCGCUUGAAUACAUUAGCAUGGAAUAAUGAAAUAGGACGUUCGAUCCUAUUUUGUUGGUUUCUAGGAUUGACGUAAUGAUUAAUAGGGAUAGUUGGG